rnacentral:rRNA from 1 species
AACGAACGCUGGCGGCGUGGAUAAGACAUGCAAGUCGAACGGGAACUUCAGCUGUAGCAAUACAGUUGAAGUUUUAGUGGCGAACGGGUGCGUAACACGUGGGCAAUCUGCCGAGAAGUGGGGGAUAGCUCGCCGAAAGGCGAAUUAAUACCGCAUAUGAUCAGCUAAGACAUCUUAGCGACAUCAAAGCCGGGGCAACCUGGCGCUUUUUGAGGAGCCCGCGGCCUAUCAGCUAGUUGGUGAGGUAACGGCUCACCAAGGCUAUGACGGGUAGCUGGUCUGAGAGGACGACCAGUCACACUGGAACUGAGACACGGUCCAGACACCUACGGGUGCAGCAGUCGAGAAUUUUUCUCAAUGGGGCAACCCUGAAGGAGCGACGCCGCGUGGAGGAUGAAGGCUUUCGGGUU